AAGUCACUGAGGCGAUCUUAGGUCUAAGGGAUACUUAUACCUAUAUCCCAUCAGAGACAUUCUCGAUAGCAGAAUACUCUGGAGUUGGUCAUGUUCACUGAUGAUGUACCCUUACAUCUUAUCUGUAUGUCAUACCAGUGUCUCCACACUCUUUGGUUAAAAGGAGAACCAACCUAUAUGGCUUACAGCAACCUAUGCUCGAUAGAAUCUGUCGUCUUUAUUAACAGCCCAUC
rnacentral:lncRNA from 1 species